rnacentral:rRNA from 1 species
AUGGGGUGCAGCAGGGGCGAAACCUCAGCAAUACACGAAAGUGUGACUGGGUUACCCAAAGUGUUCAAUUUUGAACUGUGGUAGGAGAGUAAUGUCCCCUACUAGAAAGGAGAGGGCAAGGCUGGUGCCAGCCGCCGCGGUAAAACCAGCUCUUCAAGUGGUCGGGAUAAUUAUUGGGCUUAAAGUGUCCGUAGCCGGUUUAGUAAGUUCCUGGUAAAAUCAGGUAGCUUAACUAUCUGGAUGCUAGGAAUACUGCUAUACUAGAGGGCGGGAGAGGUCUGAGGUACUACAGGGGUAGGGGUGAAAUCUUAUAAUCUUGUAGGACCACCAGUGGCGAAGGCGUCAGACUGGAACGCGCCUGACGGUGAGGGACGAAAGCCAGGGGAGCGAACCGGAUUAGAUACCCGGGUAGUCCUGGCCGUAAACGAUGCAUACUAGGUGAUGGUACGGCCAUGAGCCGUGUCAGUGCCGUAGGGAAACCGUUAAGUGUGCCGCCUGGGAAGUACGGUCGCAAGGCUAAAACUUAAAGGAAUUGGCGGGGGAGCAC